CGUGUUUGCGCGUGUCUAGUGCGUACGUGUUUUGUGAGUGUGUUGUCUGUGGGUCGCUGUGUGUGCGUGCACGUGUUAGCGUGUCUGUCUGCACACAUGUAUGUGUGCUUGUUUGUGUUCAUCAAUGUGCGCGUGCGCGCUUUUGUGUCUGCGCUUUGAGAGUGCGUAUACUUGUGUGUGCGUGUGGUUGCGUUUUGUGUGCGUGCGUAUGUAUUGCAUGAGGCCGGUAGAGUUUUACUCGCAAUGAAACUCUUCCGAUUUGGUGCAGCGAGUGUUCCCGCCUGAAAGCCGAGUGUGGUUUCAAGCCACCCUGGACAACUGCUGUAUGAGGCGCCGUUUCUCGGAAGGACCAGUGGGAAGGCGCCAAGUCAUGCAGAUGGUAGCAGCAAUUUCACAAUGCCCAGCCUUGGUUCCCCCCAUCAAGAGCAAGCCACUUGCGUUCGCCUUCAGACAGAUGGUUAAUGUCUUCUUGAAAGCGGUUGAGAAGACAACAUUGAUGCAAGAUUCCAGCAAUGCCAUGCGCUGCAUUUAUUGGUCAAGAUGCUCAGAGAAUGGAGUCCCUGCACCUCGUGGUUAACCGUGAACAUUUCUUUUUCUUUUGGAAAGCUAAAGGCCAUUUGCUGCAUCACUUGCAUUUUUGCAGCUCAGAUGUGUACUAUAUUUUUCUAAUUUUGAAUCAGUAUUGGCUGUCCAGUAUAAAAAAUGACGUACAGCGUGAAGGACAAGGACUGCGAGAGACACACUCCACUGACUUUCAACAAUAUUUUAUUGCGUUGCCACAUCGUGUGUGUAUACACAGAGGGGUCCUGCGCAGAAAAUGAAAGCCAGUCAGAAGGGGUGUUCUAACAGCAAGUCAUUGUAAAAAGAACAUAGUCACUUGAAAAAAAAA